ACAAGAUAAUGGCAAACAGAUCGCGAGGUCUGGACGCAAAGUCACCAGUCUGCUUUAAGGUCAAAAACCAAGCGGCAGAUAGUGGGACCACCUAA
rnacentral:ncRNA from 1 species